rnacentral:rRNA from 1 species
CUGCUGCCUUCCGUAGGAGUUUGGACCGUGUCUCAGUUCCAAUGUGGGGGACCUUCCUCUCAGAACCCCUAUCCAUCGAAGACUAGGUGGGCCGUUACCCCGCCUACUAUCUAAUGGAACGCAUCCCCAUCGUCUACCGGAAUACCUUUAAUCAUGUGAACAUGCGGACUCAUGAUGCCAUCUUGUAUUAAUCUUCCUUUCAGAAGGCUGUCCAAGAGUAGACGGCAGGUUGGAUACGUGUUACUCACCCGUGCGCCGG